AACGAACGCUGGCGGCGCGCCUAAUACAUGCAAGUCGAGCGAGAAGACGUAGCAAUACGUUUGUAAAGCGGCGAACGGGUGAGGAAUGCAUGGGUAACCUACCCUCGAGUGGGGAAUAACUAGCCGAAAGGUUAGCUAAUACCGCGUACGCUCCUUGGACUUCGGUUCAGGGAGGAAAGCGAUACCGUGGGUAUCGCGCUCUUGGAUGGGCGUCAUGUCCUAUCAGCUUGUUGGGAGGUAACGGCUCACCAAGGCUUCGACGGGUAGCUGGUCUGAGAGGACGAUCAGCCACACUGGCACUGCGACACGGGCCAGACUCCUACGGGAGGCAGCAGUAAGGAAUAUUGCGCAAUGGGCGAAAGCC
rnacentral:rRNA from 1 species